UGGUACGGUGUAGGGUAUGUGCAGCAGAAGUAACAUCGCUUUCAGCCUGAGGAGUCGAGUCGAUCGAGUCGGCCAUCGAUCGGUAUUCAGUAGUAGUGCCAACGGCAACCAGCAGAUAGAGUAGAGAGCUGCCUCAUCAAUUCUCAAGAGCUAGCUAGCACCGGUGCAAUUUUAAUUUUAGUUAAUCUGGAUGCAGCCUUCCUAAGGUAUAUAGUAUAGUAUAGUAUAGUAUAACCCCAGGCCUUAAGCAACAUACAUUACCUUUGAGUUGAACCAUGCAUAUAUGCUGCGGCCAUGCCAAGUGGAUAUAAUUAAACUAGUCUGCAAGAGAUCA
rnacentral:lncRNA from 1 species